GACGAACCGUGCGAACGUUAUUCGGAAUCACUGGGCUUAAAGCGCGUGUAGGCGGGACGGCACGUCGGUCGUUGAAAGCCCCCGGCUCAACCGGGGAACCGGCGCCGAUACGACCGUCCUGGAGGGACGUAGGGGGACCUGGAACUUCCGGUGGAGCGGUGAAAUGCGUUGAGAUCGGAAGGAACGCCCGUGGCGAAAGCGAGGUCCUGGACGUUUUCUGACGCUGAGACGCGAAAGCCAGGGGAGCGAACGGG
rnacentral:rRNA from 1 species